AUAUCAGUAAGGUAUAUCCUUACCUGGUACUGCAUUCAUGGAGAAUCAGAUCAUGAUGAAUGGGGAUUCAUGAGGUAUGAUUAAUAUCUCCGUUUUGUGGGGAACAGCAACACCCCACAAGAUCCAUUCUGAC